CAGUAGCCGCGGGAAUACGUAGGUGGCAAGCGUUGUCCGGAAUUAUUGGGCGUAAAGCGCGCGCAGGCGGAUAGGUCAGUCUGUCUUAAAAGUUCGGGGCUUAACCCCGUGAUGAGAUGGAAACUGCCAAUCUAGAGUAUCGGAGAGGAAAGUGGAAUUCCUAGUGUAGCGGUGAAAUGCGUAGAUAUUAGGAAGAACACCAGUGGCGAAGGCGACUUUCUGGACGAAAACUGACGCUGAGGCGCGAAAGCCAGGGGAGCGAACGGGAUUAGAUACCCGCGUAGUCCCUGUCUCUUAUACA
rnacentral:rRNA from 1 species